AAUAAGAUCACGACUAUCCAAGAAGCAGCCUUUCAAAAUCUUCCAAGUGCAGACAAUAGAGUUGCAAUACAACAAAAUACAAAAGUAUGAAGAUGGCGCUUUCCUAUUCCUGCCCAGUAUAAAGACAAUUAACCUCGAAAACAAUAAGAAUAUGAUGUGUGGAUGUCACCUACCAGCCUUCGUAAAUCAUAUUAAAAAAGUCUAUAACAGAAGUGUGACUGUCAUUGGCUCGUGUCAGGAGGCUACAGGC